rnacentral:rRNA from 1 species
GACGAACGCUGGCGGCGUGCCUAAUACAUGCAAGUCGAACGCUUCUUUCCUCCCGAGGGCUUGCACUCAAUUGGGAAGGGGGGUGGCGGACGGGUGAGUAACCCGUGGGUAACCUACCCAUCAGAGGGGGAUAACACUUGGAAACAGGUGCUAAUACCGCAUAACAGUUUAUGCCGCAUGGCAUAAGAGUGAAAGGCGCUUUCGGGUGUCGCUGAUGGAUGGACCCGCGGUGCAUUAGCUAGUUGGUGAGGUAACGGCUCACCAAGGCCACGAUGCAUAGCCGACCUGAGAGGGUGAUCGGCCACACUGGGACUGAGACACGGCCCAGACUCCUACGGGAGGCAGCAGUAGGGAAUCUUCUGCAAUGGACGAAAGUCUGACCGAGCAACGCCGCGUGAGUGAAGAAGGUUUUCGGAUCGUAAAACUCUGUUGUUAGAGAAGAACAAGGACGUUAGUAACUGAACGUCCCCUGACGGUACCUAACCAGAAAGCCACGGCUAACUACGUG